GACGAACGCUGGCGGCGUGCUUAACACAUGCAAGUCGAACGCUGAAGCUCAGCUUUUGUUGGGUGGAUGAGUGGCGAACGGGUGAGUAACACGUGAGUAACCUGCCCCCUUCUUUGGGAUAACGCCCGGAAACGGGUGCUAAUACUGGAUAUUCACUGGUCUUCGCAUGGGGGUUGGUGGAAAGGGUUUUUCUGGUGGGGGAUGGGCUCGCGGCCUAUCAGCUUGUUGGUGGGGUGAUGGCCUACCAAGGCUUUGACGGGUAGCCGGCCUGAGAGGGUGACCGGUCACAUUGGGACUGAGAUACGGCCCAGACUCCUACGGGAGGCAGCAGUGGGGAAUAUUGCACAAUGGGCGCAAGCCUGAUGCAGCGAAGCCGCGUGAGGGAUGGAGGCCUUCGGGUUGUGAACCUCUUUCGCUCAUGGUCAAGCCGCAACAAUGGUUGUGGUGAGGGUAGUGGGUAAAGAAGCGCCGGCUAACUACGUG
rnacentral:rRNA from 1 species